rnacentral:lncRNA from 1 species
UUUCCCUUCAUCGCAGAGCCCUAAUCGUCAAACCCAGGUCGCUGCUGCGGCCGCAUCCUCGUCCGAAAUCCGACGGGCUGCUGUCGUCUGGGAGCGGCGCUGCUCCGGCCUCCUCCUCUCCGUCGCGACUCUCGGCUGAACUCGUCUUAAGCCGAGCCCCAAAUGGCUCGGUUCUAAGCAUAAGAGGAAAGUAUCAGUCUCUAUCUUGCUGUAAUUAUCUCCGCUUGGGCAAGAUAGGAUUUUUGGUGGUUUUUCUCAUUGAUUCUCAGUUAGUGAAUUUAUCUAGCAGUAAAAUAUAGUUAUGCUAAGGUUAGCCAUUUAUGCAUAUAGUUUUUUUUUUAUUGGCAUGAACUGGCAUUCUAUGUUUCUCAUAAAAAUGAGUUCAUAUAAUCUGUUGGUUUGCUAGUGAGUUCUAUGUCGAUAAUAUGGUCAUGCUUCUCCUCUCAUACUCAAAAUCCAAUCGAGCUCUCUCUCCAAUCCAUUCACUUAUCUAGUUUCUGUGAGUUCUUGUGAUUGUUACUCUGGAGUGUAGUGGAAGUGAAGCAUAUAAAUCCUUCUGUUGUAAAGUAUCUCCCUAUUGUACAACAUAUCUUGACUAUUUCGUGUAGAUGAACUGUGAUUAUGCUAAAUAUGGAUGCGAACUGAAUCGAAUACUCUAUUGUUUAACUGAUCAUGCUUGCUGGAUGAUGCGAAAUGGAUCGAAUAAGUUGAGCUUAGUAUAUACCUUGUAAUUGUUUGGUAUUUGGCUGUUGUGUUGAUCUCAGCAUGAGAAGAACUGAAAUAAAGAUGGUUCUUUUAACAAUGCAGGAGGAAACAAGAACAAUAUGAUGAAAACUUAAGCCAAACUUACCUCUUCGAAGUUUCAUAGAAGUUUUACAAACUCUAUCUCUUCCCUUCAAAUUUUCUGGUUUCUGGUGUCCAAGGAAAUGAGUGAAGGAAGUUUGUUGGCUGAAAUGUUAAAGGACAUCGGAGGGAGUAGGUGGGUGUGGGAGUGUAGUGGUGGAGUGGAGUUGGUGGAGUGGAGUUGGUGGAGAGCAAAGACGUUAGCAAAAGAUAGAAAUAAUAACUUUAUCUAAACUUUAAUUGAUUGAAGAGCUUUUGCUUUUGCUAAUUGAUUUGGUUGUCUUCUUGAUUGAUUCUGUAUAUUUAAUCGCGUGUUUGCAAUCAAAUACUGGCUUCUGCUCAUUAUUCGUGUAUAAUUUAAAUACGUAGAUUUAAUUCACUUCACAAGCCAUUUAAUAUCUAGAUUAAAUCCGUAGAUUUAAUCUGCGUUGCAGUCGGAAUAAUUUCUCGACUUCAAGUAGCACUAA